GCCUACGAUCAUACUACGUUGAAAGCACCGCAUCCCGUCAGACCUGCGAAGUUAAGCAACGUUAGGCCGGGUUAGUACUAUGGUUGGAGACAACAUGGGAACACUCGGUGUCGUAGGCU
rnacentral:rRNA from 1 species